rnacentral:rRNA from 1 species
CCUACGGGUGGCAGCAGUGAGGAAUAUUGGUCAAUGGACGCAAGUCUGAACCAGCCAUGCCGCGUGCAGGAAGAAGGUGCUAUGCAUUGUAAACUUCUGUUCUUAGUGAAGAAUAAUGACGGUAGCUAAGGAGCAAGCCACGGCUAACUACGUGCCAGCAGCCGCGGUAAUACGUAGGUGGCAAGCGUUGUCCGGAAUUACUGGGUGUAAAGGGAGCGCAGGCGGGAAGCCAAGUCAGCUGUGAAAACUACGGGCUUAACUUGUAGACUGCAGUUGAAACUGGUUUUCUUGAGUGAAGUAGAGGUUGGCGGAAUUCCGAGUGUAGCGGUGAAAUGCGUAGAUAUUCGGAGGAACACCGGUGGCGAAGGCGGCCAACUGGGCUUUAACUGACGCUGAGGCUCGAAAGUGUGGGGAGCAAACAGGAUUAGAUACCCUAGUAGUC